ensembl:lncRNA
GCUUCAACAUCAGUAGGCACAACGAGAAGAAAUCUAUAUACAUCGAUGUUUUGUUUUGUUAUUAUUUUGGUCUUAGAACAACUUUUCAAUUUCCCUGCGGGCACGUCCCAAAAGGAUCAAUAAAGCUAUGUAUCUAACUUAAUUUUUGUGCAAAAAUGCACUUUAUUUCUCAGGUUAAAAUGUACUUUUUGCAGACUCACCUGUAAAGAUCAACAUCACUCAACUAUCUAAAGUCUCAUUCGAGUGUGAAAUCGAGGCAAACCCAAAUGCCACGAUUAUCUGGAGCAGGAAACUGCACGCUUCCCUGGAUCCUCACUAGUCUCCUGAUUCUCUUGACUAUUUUUCUUCUGGGGAUGUUUCUUUAUAUAAUUGGAAAACUUCAAAGGUACCAAGUCCAGCAGUUAUUUUAUGAGUUCAAGUGUAAAACUCUCAAACUGAAAAAGUUUGUUUGUUUUUUUUUUUCUUGCAGUACUUCACAAAGGUUCCAGUCAGACCCUCCGGGUGAAAUUCAAGUUCCAACAGGAAGCUCCUCAAACUCCUCAGAAAAUUCUGGCAUAGAAAAAAAGGGUACUGCCUGCAUACUCUUGCCACGUGAGGCCGGGCAUUGUGGUGCAUUAGGAGAAAGCCAGGACCACCUGUUUGAGCUGGAAUUUAUUGAAGACCGGACAUAACUGGAAGAUAUACGGUAUUCUGCAACUGAAAUGAAAGAUGGCGGAGUUGGGAUAAAGACAGAGACUUUGAGUGGAAACUGGAGAGAAGGACAAUCUGAAAAACACAAGAGAAGAUCAACUUCAUGAAAUAUGAAUCAAUAGAGGAAGUGAAGUUAAAGGAGAGAACCAGAGCAGACAGGACGACAGACCAGAGAUUCACACAAUCAGAGAAAUGUGUUUCACUGACCUCGUCUCACUGAGACUCUCUUCUUCCAUAUUUUCUACAUAGAUAAAGAAUUCAAUGUUUAACUUUAUUUUUACUUUUAAACUGAUAUAGCAUUAGUCAAACAGGCAGACAGAAAUAAAUCAAUCGCAUGACAAUUCUUGUCACUACAAGUUUUCUGUUUCAGGUCAAAUAAAACUUUUGAUUUUAUUCUUUCAACAGUUGAAUAAUCUGGAACUGACUAGAAGUCACUGAGGGGAUGCAUGUUUGCAAAACAAAGUUUUUUUUAAAUCACAAAAAACAACAAAGUUAAUAUGAAUCAUAUAAAUGUUUCUUAAAAGAUGAUUUCUAUUCUAAAUCAUAAAAAAAGCUCAUUUAUAUAAAAACUAGUACAAAUAUGAUAAUAAAUUCAAAUAUUUAAAAAUAAAUGGUCAAUAUCAUUUUUUGCUUCGAUUUUAAAUUUUAUACAAUUAAAAUAUAUAAGUGAAUAAAAGACUUUGUUUUGGUUCCUUGUAAUUUUUUUAAUCCUUAAUUAAAUACUCACAAAGAGCUAUUUAUUUCAUGAAUUAUAAUUUUGCAAAUAAAAGUGCUCAUUUUGAAUAAAUCAAAUCAAAUCAAACUUUAUUUAUAAAAAAAGCGCUUCUCAUGCUUUGCGCAGCUCGAAGCGCUUUACAUUAAAAACAAAAACAUAUACAAUAAAAGCAAACCCCCCCACCCAAUAAAAGCCAACCCUCUAUCAACACAUACAACCCAUCCCACACACAAUGAAUACAAUGAAAAAUGACAUAAAUGAAAAUUGUAAAAACAGACAUAAGGCUUGAAUGAAUUGAAUUAAAUGAAUUAAAUCAUUCUUUAGAGUCUAACUGAGAAGUAAAACUUUAAAUUUUUCCAGUUCAAUGGAGCAAAACAAAAAAGUUGAAAAUACUAUAAUUGAAUUUAUCAUUUUCUAUCUAAGGCAGAACAGAAAACCUCACCUGUGGACGCAGACGACUAAAAUGACGCAACACAGAAGAAAUCCUGCUGCAAUCGGGAUUCUCAGAACAGAAUAAACGGAACGAUUUGUUCCUGAAACAAAUACAAAUAAAUUCCCAUCAGUGAUUUUAAGUAGCUCAAUUUGAACUUUUUUCCUGUUAUACCAUACAUACCUUUAACUUCCUCAGACAAAGUUAAAUUCCAUGUUAUUUCUCUAAAUCCAUUUCUGUCACCUACAGUACAACUGUAAAGUCCUUCUUCUUCUUCUUGAACAUUCACUACUGUCAACUUUGUGGGGAGGUCGGACUUUAUACUCAUCUUAAGAGAAGCUAAAUUAGGAAUAGCGGCACUGAGGACGAUGGAACGAUGAAAUGAUACAUUCUCUUUGCUCCAUUGGAAGACUGCUCCCUCAUUUAGGGGCACGUUACAAGUCAAAGUGACUGAAUCGCCUCUGGAAACCUUCAGGCUUCUGUGCUCAGUUAACGGUGGAUCUGAGGGUUGAAACAGACAACAAAAGUUUGUAUCAUCGAUAUGAAUAAAACCCUGAAUCCUUUCCAUGAAAUGUUUUUCGUACCUGCAAAGAUCAUUUGUGGCUGAAUCAGCUGGAUCAGGAUCAGAACUGCUGUGUUCCUCCAGAACAUGAUGACCAUCAGAGAACAGAAGACAAACUGGAACAGCAAACUGUGGUUUCUAAUACAUGUUUGGAGGAGGUACUGAGAAAAAGGAAGUGGGAAGAUGCUACUUUGCUGAAUGUUAAGGAACGUCUUAAAACUUUGAUUGGAAAGUUUGUUAAAUUGUUCUUGGAUGAGAUUUUUGUUCUUUUUUAUCUUCAUAGAAAGAUCUUUAAAGAUGCAGAAGUUCUAGCAAUGUCAGUAGUUUAAAAGGACAAAGCUCGAGUAUUGUUGGGUUAGUAGUUCUGACUCUUCUCAGGUCUAAGUAUCUCCCACACAUGAUGCAGUAAAACCACCAGCAAUCUGUUGACCAAAUAUGUAGCAAAGUUUAGUUACAGAAUGUCUGUGGUUGUGAUGAAUUUGUGACAGCAAGUUGUAAUAAAAUAAAUAUAUCUGUUAAAAAUAGC